UUCCUCCUAAAGAUCUUGAGGGGCAUUAGUGAAAAAGCUUUUUGAAGUCACCUAUAUUUGCAAGUUACAAUCUACAAUCUCUGUUGCCAUCUUGAUCUAAAUUAGGUAUUCUCCAUCUUGAUUUAAUCUUUAUCAAAUAAAUUGGUACAAGAUUUUGGAAGUCGUGUUGGGCCUUUCUUUUUUUUGGAUCUUUUACAGUUGGCAUUCUUUCGGAUGAUGGCAAUAAAUCGAGCUUUCGUUGCUGCUCAAUAGCAAGAACAAUAAUCGAUCAAUCAUUCUCUCAGUAUUAUUCUGGUUGUAUGAGAUCGAUAUAAGAAGAAAAAAGAAAUAAAAGACAAAAGAAAUGUAUAGAUCAAUUUUGUGCCCGAAAUACAACCACAAAAACCCAAGAAAACCAAAGUGAAAAACAACACAAGAAGAAAAGGGUUUGACACGACGAUCGUGGAGGAAGUGUUGUCACGAGCGUGGGUUAAUGUUUCUCGAGAUCCAAUAAAAGGUUCUAUGGUUAAAAAGAUGGAUUUCCAAAUAAAAAGACGAGUUUAAUGGAAAAGAUCAAAAGCUGUGGGAUCAGGCCCAAGUACGAUUGGUACCAUUUGGAGUAGGGUACGGAUCAUACCGUUUAAAGAUAGGCUGGAUGGCACCACCUUUUAGAAGUCGAAACCCUAGUAGACCUAGACGCUGACGUUGAAAGGUGCGGGUCGUACUUGAUUAAUGAGCAUACGGGUCGUACCUGAUAUACGUUAAAUUAUACAUGUUUUUAUACCCCAAAACACUUCCGUUUUAAGCGUGUUUGACCGAAAACUCGACGGUUAGGUACCAAAAUCGGUACUUUUAUAUUUUUAGGUCUUAAACAGAGCAUAAAGGAAAAUUCUGAU
rnacentral:lncRNA from 1 species